GAACCCUGAUGUAGAAGUCUUCGUUCAGCCACUGGACCGUCAAACUCAGCACACUCAGGUCUUUAUGUCCGAGGUCAAACUUCAGUCAUUGGCGUUGUUGUGGAGCAAAGAGACUCAGGGUUAUGCUCCAAAUUGUAGCUGCUGAAAUCCUUGAUCUGCUACCUGGAGAGAGAGGCUUCAGAUGACGUUGAGGGAAAUAAAUCGUUGCAACAUGCCGGAGGUGGAAAGUGAUGAUGCAGAGACGUCAAAAUGUGUCGCUCACUCAGUACAUGUAGGGGCAAAUUCCACCAGAUCCGGGUCCGGUCCGUCUCCAACCAUCACAGCACCAGAUCUGACAGGUCGGAGCCCUCCGGAUCAGGUACACA